rnacentral:rRNA from 1 species
UACGGGGGGUGCAAACGUUGCUCGGAAUUAUUGGGCGUAAAGCGCACGUAGGCGGUCUGUUAAGUCGGGUGUGAAAGCCCCGGGCUCAACCCGGGAAGUGCACUCGAAACUGACAGGCUUGAGUACGGAAGAGGGUCUCGGAAUUCCCGGUGUAGAGGUGAAAUUCGUAGAUAUCGGGAGGAACACCAGUGGCGAAGGCGGAGACCUGGGCCGAGUACGUGACGCUGAGGUGACGAAAGCGUG